rnacentral:rRNA from 1 species
UACGUAGGGGGCAAGCGUUGUCCGGAUUUAUUGGGCGUAAAGAGCGUGUAGGCGGCCAGAUAGGUCCGUUGUGAAAACUCGAGGCUCAACCUCGAGACGCCGAUGGAAACCAUUUGGCUAGAGUCCGGAAGAGGAGAGUGGAAUUCCCGGUGUAGCGGUGAAAUGCGCGGAUAUCGGGAGGAACACCAGUGGCGAAGGCGACUACCUGGCCUGUUUCUUGACGCUGAGGCGCGAAAGCUAGGGGAGCAAACGGG